AUUGAACGCUGGCGGCAUGCUUUACACAUGCAAGUCGAACGGCCGCGCGGGCUUCGGCCUGGCGGCGAGUGGCGAACGGGUGAGUAAUACAUCGGAACGUGCCCAGUCGUGGGGGAUAGCUCGGCGAAAGCCGGAUUAAUACCGCAUACGACCUGAGGGUGAAAGCGGGGGAUCUUCGGACCUCGCGCUAUUUGAGCGGCCGUUGGCAGAUUAGCUAGUUGGUGGGGUAAAGGCCUACCAAGGCGACGAUCUGUAGCUGGUCUGAGAGGACGACCAGCCACACUGGGACUGAGACACGGCCCAGACUCCUACGGGAGGCAGCAGUGGGGAAUUUUGGACAAUGGGCGAAAGCCUGAUCCAGCAAUGCCGCGUGUGUGAUGAAGGCCUUCGGGUUGUAAAGCACUUUUGGCGGGAACGAAAAGGACUGUGCCAAUACCACGGUUCGAUGACGGUACCCGCAGAAUAAGCACCGGCUAACUACGUG
rnacentral:rRNA from 1 species